rnacentral:rRNA from 1 species
GACGAACGCUGGCGGCGUGCUUAACACAUGCAAGUCGAACGGAAAGGCCUGCUUUCCCUUGUGGAUUGCGGGUACUCGAGUGGCGAACGGGUGAGUAACACGUGAGUGAUCUGCCCCCAACUUGGGUAUAAGCCUGGGAAACUGGGUCUAAUUCCCGAUAGGACUGCAGGGUGGUGCCUGUGGUGGAAAACGAUUUUCUAGUGGUUGGGGAUGAGCUCGCGGCCUAUCAGCUUGUUGGUGGGGUAAUGGCCUACCAAGGCGGCGACGGGUAGCCGGCCUGAGAGGGUGGACGGCCACAUUGGGACUGAGAUACGGCCCAGACUCCUACGGGAGGCAGCAGUGGGGAAUAUUGCACAAUGGGCGGAAGCCUGAUGCAGCGACGCCGCGUGGGGGAUGACGGCCUUCGGGUGGUAAACUCCUUUCGGCCGCGAGGAAGCCACCUGGUUGGAAGGGUGGUGACGGUAGUGGUAGAAGAAGCACCGGCUAACUACGUG